UACGUAGGGUGCGAGCGUUGUCCGGAAUUACUGGGCGUAAAGCGUGCGCAGGCGGUUUUGUAAGCCAGAUGUGAAAUCCCCGGGCUUAACCUGGGAAUGGCAUUUGGGACUGCAAGGCUGGAGUGCGGCAGAGGAGACUGGAAUUCCUGGUGUAGCAGUGAAAUGCGUAGAUAUCAGGAGGAACACGGAUGGCGAAGGCAGGUCUCUGGGCUGACACUGACGCUCAUGCACGAAAGCGUGGGGAGCAAACAGG
rnacentral:rRNA from 1 species